GACGUAGGGCGCGAGCGUUGUCCGGAUUUAUUGGGCGUAAAGAGCUCGUAGGCGGCUUGUCGCGUCGUCCGUGAAAACCUGCGGCUCAACUGCAGGCUGGCGGUCGAUACGGGCAGGCUGGAGUUCGGUAGGGGAGACUGGAAUUCCUGGUGUAGCGGUGAAAUGCGCAGAUAUCAGGAGGAACACCGGUGGUGUAGACGGCUUUCUGGACCGUAACUGACGCUGAGACACGAAAGCGUGGGGUAGCAAACAGG
rnacentral:rRNA from 1 species